rnacentral:rRNA from 1 species
UACGGGGGGGGUAAGCGUUGUUCGGAAUUACUGGGCGUAAAGGGCUCGUAGGCGGCCAACUAAGUCAUACGUGAAAUCCCUCAGCUUAACUGGGGAACUGCGUGUGAUACUGGAUGGCUUGGAUUUGGGAGAGGGAUGCGGAAUUCCAGGUGUAGCGGUGAAAUGCGUAGAUAUGUGGAGGAACACCGAUGGCGAAGGCAGCCCCCUGGGCCAAUACUGACGCUCAUGCACGAAAGCGUGGGGAGCAAACAGG